UACGUAGGGGGCUAGCGUUGUCCGGAAUCAUUGGGCGUAAAGCGCGCGUAGGCGGCCCGGUAAGUCCGCUGUGAAAGUCCAGGGCUCAACCCUGGAAAGCCGGUGGAUACUGCCGGGCUAGAGUCCGGGAGAGGCGAGUGGAAUUCCUGGUGUAGCGGUGGAAUGCGCAGAUAUCAGGAGGAACACCUAAGGCGAAGGCAGCUCGCUGGAACGGUACUGACGCUGAGACGCGAAAGCGUGGGGAGCAAACAGG
rnacentral:rRNA from 1 species